GUCAACGACCCACCACUAAUCGGAGUACCCAUAUAGUGGGGGCUUGCUCAUAGCCGAGUUGACCAGUCUAAGUCUUAACUGACUACGUUUAAGGUAAGCGUUAAAGACCUACCAGGGAAUGCGAAGCUAGUUCUCUGCUCUAGA
rnacentral:sRNA from 17 species